GAUGAACGCUGGCGGCGUGCCUAAUACAUGCAAGUCGAGCGAACGGACGAGAAGCUUGCUUUUCUGAUGUUAGCGGCGGACGGGUGAGUAACACGUGGAUAACCUACCUAUAAGACUGGGAUAACUUCGGGAAACCGGAGCUAAUACCGGAUAAUAUUUGGAACCGCAUGGUUCAAAAGUGAAAGACGGUCUUGCUGUCACUUAUAGAUGGAUCCGCGCUGCAUUAGCUAGUUGGUAAGGUAACGGCUUACCAAGGCAACGAUGCAUAGCCGACCUGAGAGGGUGAUCGGCCACACUGGAACUGAGACACGGUCCAGACUCCUACGGGAGGCAGCAGUAGGGAAUCUUCCGCAAUGGGCGAAAGCCUGACGGAGCAACGCCGCGUGAGUGAUGAAGGUCUUCGGAUCGUAAAACUCUGUUAUUAGGGAAGAACAUAUGUGUAAGUAACUGUGCACAUCUUGACGGUACCUAAUCAGAAAGCCACGGCUAACUACGUG
rnacentral:rRNA from 1 species